CCUACGGGAGGCAGCAGUAGGGAAUCUUGCGCAAUGGGCGAAAGCCUGACGCAGCAACGCCGCGUGGGGGAUGAAUGCCUUCGGGUUGUAAACCCCUUUCAGCAGGGACGAAAAUGACGGUACCUGCAGAAGAAGCUCCGGCCAACUACGUGCCAGCAGCCGCGGUAAUACGUAGGGAGCGAGCGUUGUCCGGAAUUAUUGGGCGUAAAGAGCUCGUAGGCGGUUCAGUAAGUCGGGUGUGAAAACUCAAGGCUCAACCUUGAGACGCCACUCGAUACUGCUGUGACUUGAGUCCGGUAGAGGAGUGUGGAAUUCCUGGUGUAGCGGUGAAAUGCGCAGAUAUCAGGAGGAACACCAGCGGCGAAGGCGGCACUCUGGGCCGGUACUGACGCUGAGGAGCGAAAGCAUGGGGAGCAAACAGGAUUAGAUACCCUAGUAGU
rnacentral:rRNA from 1 species